CAGUAAUUAAGGCAUCAGUGUCAAAUGGCACAGGUUAUUGAUCCAGAAUUCAGCAAACUUGAAGACUCAUGAUGAUUAUAAUCAUAUCCGCUAUAGUUAAAUAAAAAUAAAUGAAAGUACCAUCAUCUGUGAACUGUGAAAAAAAAAAAAAAAAUCUAACAGUAAGCAACCGUGUGAUUGCUAGUUUUCUAGUGUUGAAAUGUAUCAAACGGAUGUAUUUACAUUUUACAAAUUAAUCGUGUUUAUAAAUAAGUACAAAUUAUGAAUAAAGAAUUAGUUAUUUUA